rnacentral:tRNA from 1 species
AGCCCUUUAGUAUAAAAGUAUUUCUAAUUUCCAAUUAGAAGGUUUAUGGGCUU